rnacentral:rRNA from 1 species
UACGGGGGGGGGCAAGCGUUGUUCGGAAUUACUGGGCGUAAAGGCUCGUAGGCGGCCAACUAAGUCAUACGUGAAAUCCCUCGGCUUAACCGGGGAACUGCGUCUGAUACUGGAUGGCUUGAGUUCGGGAGAGGGAUGCGGAAUUCCAGGUGUAGCGGUGAAAUGCGUAGAUAUCUGGAGGAACACCGGUGGCGAAGGCGGCAUCCUGGACCGAUACUGACGCUGAGGAGCGAAAGCCAGGGGAGCAAAACGGGG